UGGUAAUGCCGGAUGCUCCAUCUCAUCGCAUGGUGUUUUGGGAAAGCCUUUGCGGCAUGGGAUGGGGUCGCGUCCUAUCAGCUUGAUGGCGGGGUAACGGCCCACCAUGGCUUCGACGGGUAGCCGGCCUGAGAGGGCGACCGGCCACAUUGGGACUGAGAUACGGCCCAGACUCCUACGGGAGGCAGCAGUGGGGAAUAUUGCACAAUGGGCGCAAGCCUGAUGCAGCGACGCCGCGUGAGGGAUGGAGGCCUUCGGGUUGUAAACCUCUUUUGUUAGGGAGCAAGGCAUUUUGUGUUGAGUGUACCUUUCGAAUAAGCACCGGCUAACUACGUGCCAGCAGCCGCGGUAAUACGUAGGGUGCAAGCGUUAUCCGGAAUUAUUGGGCGUAAAGGGCUCGUAGGCGGUUCGUCGCGUCCGGUGUGAAAGUCCAUCGCUUAACGGUGGAUCCGCGCCGGGUACGGGCGGGCUUGAGUGCGGUAGGGGAGACUGGAAUUCCCGGUGUAACGGUGGAAUGUGUAGAUAUCGGAAAAAAAACACC
rnacentral:rRNA from 1 species